rnacentral:lncRNA from 1 species
UGAUUCGUAGAGUGGCUCUCUUGAUCUUCCUUAUACUCAGCCAUUUUCCUGAAUGCUAUCUUCUUGGCCUUCUCGGCUCUCAGCUUGGCUGCCAUCUUUAGUGGCAUUCUCAUCUUUGUUGAGUAAAGCUUUGAUCUGUUAGAGUCCUUCUUCAAAGCUGCUUCACUUCCACCUUGGUAGUCUCACUGUCACUGAGACUUAUUCUAUUGAUCUUUGGUGGAACUCGUAGAGUCAACAAUAGCAUUCACCAACUCAACGAUUCUGCAAC